GGCCGAUCCAAGUCACUGACCAUUAUGAGGUUCUUGAGGAAACUCACCUGGCUAGCUGCAUGCCACAAUUUCUUCUUGUUAUGUGUCCAUGUCCCAGGUGUUUGUAACACGGCUGCUGACAAUUUGUCUCGUUUCAAUUUACAGGCUUUUCGGCAAAUACUUCCGUCAGCCGCACGCACAGCCACGACCACUCCACCUUUCC